rnacentral:rRNA from 1 species
UACAGAGGUGCCGAGCGUUAGGCGGAAUCACUGGGCUUAAAGCGUGUGUAGGCGGAUGCCUAAGUACCUUGUGAAAUCCCACGGCUUAACCGUGGAACUGCUCGGUAUACUGGGUGUCUUGAGCCACUUAGGGGUUACCGGAACAAAUGGUGGAGCGGUGAAAUGCGUAGAUAUCAUUUGGAACGCCAACGGUGAAAACAGGUAACUGGGAGUGUGCUGACGCUGAGACACGAAAGCCAGGGGAGCGAACGGG